UGGAAGAAUAUAUUUACAUUGAAAUGACUUCCAAAAGAAUGCUUAAAAAUCAAUAAUAAGAAAAAAACAAGAAAAAAAUGGACAAAGACUUACAUUUUUGAUAGAUGUAUAAAUUGAUACAAUCAUUUUGGAGAUAAUUUUAGCAAUGCCUAGUAAAGUUGGAGGAUGCAUACUUUACGACCCAGAAAUUCCACUUCAAGGAAUGGACUUAAAGAAAUUUGUGCAUAUUCACAAGGAGAUAUGCACAAGAUUGGUCAGUAAAGCACCCUUUGAAUGUUUACAACAAAAGUAGUCUACCUGGAGUGGAUCAACUGAGAUUUAUGAUGAAGCUCAGUGUAGAAGCUAACAUGAAUCAGCCAGGUCUACAUGUAUCAUUAUGAUAAAUAUCAAAAUAUUAAUAUUUGGUGAAAAAGGCGAAUUGCAUAAAUAUAGGUAUAGUAAACAAAAUAGGAUUUGAAUGAUAGCAUGAAAAAUCAGGAUAUUUAGAGUUAAGAGGAAAGGGAAAAGAUGGGAGGAGGAGUGGACUUUAGCUGAACGUUUUAUGUCUUUAAAAGUGAUGGCUCUGAAGCAAAACUGACAAGUUUAACAUCUGAAAUUUCUGUGGUCUGUACGUUGGCAUCUCUUAUUCCGGGUGUCUUCAUCUUGUUGAUUUUAUAUCCCAUCUCUGCUAAUUUACAUGGAAACUAUUGAAACUUCUGAAGAUGGGAGUGAUUAUCUGAGCUGCAGUUUGGCACCUGAGAGAUGGACCGAAGAGAAAGAAAAUAUAUAUGAAAUAAUACGAAAAGAACAAAACGAAAGCUCAUUCUACCAGACUUUAAGACCGAUUACAUAGCCAAGUAAGAAUAAGAUAAAUGUCACUACAUCACCAGAGUUCUCAGGUGGCUGGCAGAAUGAUGACAAAUUUAAUUAUCGCAAGAAACACUGCUGUAUUGGUGCUGUACAUUGUUCUUGAGAAGGCGUAUCGGUCUCUCCAGACCCAAAUCCGGAUUUGAUAACAGGAAAUCAUCA
rnacentral:lncRNA from 1 species